GUCUGUGCAGUGUGCCCGCUCGAGGAUCAGCAGGUUUUGUUUGCAGUGCUGCAAGCUGCUGCUCCUUCACAGGCACUGUUUACACACCUCCACCAACUGGACCUCUCUCUCAUGUGACAGGAGUUUCAUUCAGAACUGGACUUUAUCUGCCUGGGGAUUUAUUUGCUGAAAUACGCUUUGCUCCCCAGCGGGAGAUAUAAGCCUCCUGAGCAGCCAAGGUAACACUUCACAGCGAGGGCAGAGGGAAGACAACUUGGAAAGCACCCAGCGCAAGUUCACAGUGAGAGAGGAUCCCCCAUCCAGAACAGCAAGAUUAUUAAGCACGCAGUGAGAACCACAAGGAGGACACUCAGCACUGCCCCAACAGCCUGACUUCUCCUUGAAAGGCCUUUAUGUACUUGGGCCUCCUGAUCUGUCUCAUGCUCAUUGCUUCCUGGAUCAUUGGUUGAUCUAUCAACGUAAAUUGGGAAGAAAAGGAUGAGUAAGAUCUAUUGACCGGUUGCAUCAAACUGGAUUAGAAACAGCAAAUUCAAAGAAUUUGAAUACGCCACACCAUCUUGUUGGUCCUACCUAACAGCUAUGAAGAAUUUAAUUUAGUGGAUUUCAUUUUAAUUAAAAUCACUGAAAAAAUGAAAAUGUAUGUACUGUGC